AGAGUUUGAUCAUGGCUCAGAGCGAACGCUGGCGGCAGGCCUAAUGCAUGCAAGUCGAGCGGGUCCUUCGGGAUUAGCGGCGGACGGGUGAGUAACGCGUGGGAACGUGCCCUUUGGUACGGAACAACUGAGGGAAACUUCAGCUAAUACCGUAUGUGCCCUUCGGGGAAAGAUUUAUCGCCAUUGGAGCGGCCCGCGUUGGAUUAGGUAGUUGGUGAGGUAAAGGCUCACCAAGCCUACGAUCCAUAGCUGGUCUGAGAGGAUGACCAGCCACACUGGGACUGAGACACGGCCCAGACUCCUACGGGAGGCAGCAGUAGGGAAUCUUGCGCAAUGGGCGAAAGCCUGACGCAGCCAUGCCGCGUGAAUGAUGAAGGUCUUAGGAUUGUAAAAUUCUUUCACCGGGGACGAUAAUGACGGUACCCGGAGAAGAAGCCCCGGCUAACUUCGUG
rnacentral:rRNA from 1 species